CUGGCUUUCUGUUGUCCGCAUGUUAAUUUAAAACAUUUUGUAAAAGAAUGCUGUAUUUAUUCAAUAAAAACCUUGAUAGCGAAGUAAUGAUCAAGAGGGACGAGGGUAUUCGUUCUGUGUCGUCAGAGGUGAAAGUCUUGGAUCCGCGCAAGACGAACGACAUCGAAAGCAUUUGUCAAGAACGUUU
rnacentral:ncRNA from 1 species